UACGUAGGGUGCAAGCGUUAAUCGGAAUUACUGGGCGUAAAGCGUGCGCAGGCGGUUUUGUAAGUCUGUCGUGAAAGCCCCCGGGCUCAACCUGGGAAUUGCGAUGGAGACUGCAAGGCUUGAAUCUGGCAGAGGGGGGGUAGAAUUCCACGUGUAGCAGUGAAAUGCGUAGAGAUGUGGAGGAACACCGAUGGCGAAGGCAGCCCCCUGGGUCAAGAUUGACGCUCAUGCACGAAAAGCGUGGGGGAGCAAACAGG
rnacentral:rRNA from 1 species